rnacentral:rRNA from 1 species
GACGAACGCUGGCGGCGUGCUUAACACAUGCAAGUCGAACGGAAAGGCCCUGCUUUUGUGGGGUGCUCGAGUGGCGAACGGGUGAGUAACACGUGAGUAACCUGCCCUUGACUUUGGGAUAACUUCAGGAAACUGGGGCUAAUACCGGAUAGGAGCUCCUGCUGCAUGGUGGGGGUUGGAAAGUUUCGGCGGUUGGGGAUGGACGCGCGGGUUAUCAGCUUGUUGGUGGGGUAGUGGCUUACCAAGGCUUUGACGGGUAGCCGGCCUGAGAGGGUGGCCGGCCACAAUGGGACUGCGGUACGGACCAGACUCCUACGGGAGGCAGCAGUGGGGAAUAUUGCACAAUGGGCGGAAGCCUGAUACAGCAACGCCGCGUGCGGGAUGACGGCCUUCGGGUUGUAAACCGCUUUCGCCUGUGACGAAGCGUGAGUGACGGUAAUGGGUAAAGAAGCACCGGCUAACUACGUG